UGAGAGGCAGACCCGAGAGCCCGAGACCCGAGCCGGGAGCCGGGAUGCUAGGGUCCAGGGUAUUCACGCCGGGGGUCUGAAGAUAUUCGUGUACCGCUUCCGUCUAUCAGCCAAACUUCAGCUGACCUUUGGACUCGUUAAACGAGUAGCUUGCAGCCUGAUGUGCAAGGCGCCGGGACUUUUCCACCCGCUGUGGGUCCGGCUUUAAGUCCGGAGAGAAGGAGAAACUGCGCUCGGGGGCUCAGCUCCAGGACACAGCGGUUCCCAGGGCCAGAGACUGAUCUCUGUGGACGCGAGGUCAAGGCGGCGGUGGCUGGCGACUCCCACGCCAAGUUGGGAAGGGGCCGACCAAGCCAGCGAGGGACAGAAGUGAUUGUUCACGCCGGCCCGGCCCAGGAAGGAAGGCGGGAACCUCUCAGCGCUAUCGGAGUUCACGGAGGCGCUCAGAGGCGAGGAAGAAGGCAGGAGAAUGACCACGUUGUCCAUUUCCAGACUUUUGGGCAGAUGAUACAUGAGCUCAGGCUGGAAUUCUGAGUAGUACUAGAAAUGGGACACCAUGGAAAGUAAACUCCAAGAAGAUGGAGACCGUCUCAUGACUUACUCUUCAAUGUCCGGAGAGGUGUCUGAUCCAUAAAACAUGCUCAAUAAAACCUUGUUGAAUAAAUGAGCA
rnacentral:lncRNA from 1 species